rnacentral:rRNA from 1 species
UACGAAGGGGGCUAGCGUUGCUCGGAAUGACUGGGCGUAAAGGGCGCGUAGGCGGCGCAUUUAGUCAGGCGUGAAAUUCCUGGGCUCAACCUGGGGACUGCGCUUGAUACGGGUGUGCUUGAGGAUGGAAGAGGCUCGCGGAAUUCCCAGUGUAGAGGUGAAAUUCGUAGAUAUUCGGAAGAACACCAGUGGCGAAGGCGACUUACUGGACACAUAUUGACGCUGAGGUGCGAAAGCGUGGGGAGCAAACAGG